CUCAUUAUCAAGCACCACCACCAACAAGGGAGAAGUUGCUUUAAAUAAGCAACAGCCAAGAAUAGCAAAAGCUGACAAGAAUUUCUCAUAGAAGAUUUGAGAGUGUCUUGGAUAUUAUGCCUGAUUAAUAUCAGUCAGCCUGUCUUCUAGACAUCCUUUUGAAAAAUGGACAGUACAGUACAACAUCAGGAGAUCCACAUGAUUCCCAUGGAUCCUUUUUAUAAAUGAAGUGCCAUAUCACUUAAGACAGGGUAAUUUAACUUUAUUUAUUUACAGUUAUUUUACAGUUAUGUAACUGUUUCUUUACUAAAUGGAG
rnacentral:lncRNA from 11 species